rnacentral:rRNA from 1 species
GACGAACGCUGGCGGCGUGCUUAACACAUGCAAGUCGAACGAAGUGGCGAACGGGUGAGUAACGCGUAAUCAACCUGCCCUUCAGAGGGGGACAACAGUUGGAAACGACUGCUAAUACCGCAUACUGAAGGCGGGGAUUUCGUCUGAUUAGCUAGUUGGAGGGGUCACGGCCCACCAAGGCGAUGAUCAGUAGCCGGGCUGAGGGGAGUAACGGCCACAUUGGGACUGAGACACGGCCCAGACGCCUAAGGGAGGCAGCAGUGGGGAAACGUCCGAAAUGGACGAAAGUCUGACGGAGCAACGCCGCGGGAGUGAGGACGGCCUUCGGGUGGUAAAGCUCUGUUAAUCGGGACGCGGUACCGGAAUAGAAAGCCACGGCUAACUACGUGCCAGCAGCCGCGGUAAUUC